UGGAUUUUGACCUAUGAUAUUCACGUACACGAGACUUACUUUCUCUGCUCGUGCAACUUGUAUGCCGCGCUGUUCGGGAUUGGCCGCGCCAUUACGACGGGACAUUCAUAUACGUGAGGUGGCUCACAAAUGUCAAGAAAACCAGCCGAACUCGAGGCCCCAGAGUAUAAUCACCUGCGGUUACACUAUCAAAAGAAGUGCAUGGUUGCGACUACGUUCGGUUAUUAUGGAGAGAUUGCGAGAAAUGCUGGGGAGCUUGAUGCAAGAAUAAGGUUUUAUUUUUACACCGGAAUAACAAAUUGUCUCGAAUCGUGAGCCGUGAACGGCGCGUACUCACGUGAAUAACGUAAGUUUCAUGGUGCCGACGACCUGUGGUAGAAAUUGUGUUGGCUCUGCGGAUGUUGUG